rnacentral:rRNA from 1 species
AGUUUGAUCAUGGCUCAGAACGAACGCUGGCGGCAUGCCUAACACAUGCAAGUCGAACGAACCCUUCGGGGUGAGUGGCGCACGGGUGCGUAACGCGUGGGAACCUGCCUUUAGGUUCGGAAUAACAGUUAGAAAUGACUGCUAAUACCGGAUAAUGUCUUCGGACCAAAGAUUUAUCGCCUUUAGAUGGGCCCGCGUUAGAUUAGAUAGUUGGUGGGGUAAUGGCCUACCAAGUCGACGAUCUAUAGCUGGUCUGAGAGGAUGAUCAGCCACACUGGGACUGAGACACGGCCCAGACUCCUACGGGAGGCAGCAGUGGGGAAUAUUGGACAAUGGGCGAAAGCCUGAUCCAGCAAUGCCGCGUGAGUGAUGAAGGCCUUAGGGUUGUAAAGCUCUUUUACCAGGGAUGAUAAUGACAGUACCUGGAGAAUAAGCUCCGGCUAACUCCGUGCC